UAGGGAAUCUUGCGCAAUGGGCGAAAGCCUGACGCAGCCAUGCCGCGUGAAUGAUGAAGGUCUUAGGAUUGUAAAAUUCUUUCACCGGGGAAGAUAAUGACGGUACCCGGAGAAGAAGCCCCGGCUAACUUCGUGCCAGCAGCCGCGGUAAUACGAAGGGGGCUAGCGUUGCUCGGAAUUACUGGGCGUAAAGGGCGCGUAGGCGGACAUUUAAGUCAGAGGUGAAAGCCCAGGGCUCAACCUUGGAAUUGCCUUUGAUACUGGAUGUCUUGAGUUCGGGGGAGGUGAGUGGAAUGCCGAGUGUAGAGGUGAAAUUCGUAGAUAUUCGGCGGAACACCAGUGGCGAAGGCGACUCACUGGCCCGAUACUGACGCUGAGGCGCGAAAGCGUGGGGAGCAAACAGGAUUAGAUACCCUGGUAGUCCACGCCGUAAACGAUGAGUGCUAGUUGUCGGCAUGCAUGCAUGUCGGUGACGCAGCUAACGCAUUAAGCACUCCGCCUGGGGAGUACGGUCGCAAGAUUA
rnacentral:rRNA from 1 species